rnacentral:rRNA from 2 species
UAGGGAAUUUUCGGCAAUGGAGGAAACUCUGACCGAGCAAUGCCGCGUGAACGAAGAAGUAUUUCGGUAUGUAAAGUUCUUUUAUCAGGGAAGAAAAUAAAAUUGACGGUACCUGAUGAAUAAGCUCCGGCUAACUACGUGCCAGCAGCCGCGGUAAUACGUAGGGAGCAAGCGUUAUCCAGAAUUAUUUGGCGUAAAGGGUGCGUAGAUGGCAUAAGAAGUCUUUUGUUAAAAUGCUAAGCUCAACUUAGUAGUGCAAAAGAAACUCUUAAGAUAGAGUACAGAAGAGGUAAGUGGAAUUCCAUGUGUAGCGGUAAAAUGCGUAAAUAUAUGGAGGCACACCAGUGGCGACGGCGGCUUACUGGUGUGAUACUGACAUUGAGGCACGAAAGCGUGGGGAGCAAACAGG